rnacentral:rRNA from 1 species
UGCCGCGUGAAGGACUAAGGCUCCAUGGGUGCGUAAACUUCUUUUGACGCAGAGCAAUAAGGGACACGCGUGUUCCGAUGAGAGUAUGCGUCGAAUAAGCAUCGGCUAACUCCGUGUCAGCAGCCGCGGUAAUACGGAGGAUGCGAGCGUAUCCGGAUUUAUUGGGUUUAAAGGGUGCGUAGGCUGUCGGUUAAGUCAGCGGUGAAAUCAGCACGCUUAACGUGUUGUUUGCCGUUGAAACUGUCCGUCUUGAAUGCGCUCGUCGUGGGAGGAAUGUGUGGUGUAGCGGUGAAAUGCAUAGAUAUCACACAGAACACCGAUUGCGAAGGCAUCUCACGAGAGCGUUAUUGACGCUGAUGCACGAAAGCGCGGUAUCGAACAGGAUUAGAUACCCUGGUAGUCCGCGCUGUAAACGAUGAUGACUAACUGUUGGUUCCAAUGGGAUCAGUGGUCAAGCGAAAGCGUUAAGUCAUCCACCUGGGGAGUACGGCGCAGGCUGAACUCAAAGAAUGACGGGGGCCGCACAGCGAGACUGUGU